UUUUUCCCUUUGUAAUUCAUACGUAAUCUGUUCAGAUAUAUUUUGACACUGUAUGAAUGUCCUAUUCCCCUAGAAACUUUCAUGUGAUGGUUUUAGCAUCCAUUGAUGAUUCUUGCAUGAAUCAUUAUUGCUAUGGUGGUUGCAAAACAUUAAUUUUCUAUUUCUACUCUUUCUUCUGCAAUUUCUUUCUCUUAAAGGGAAUUACAUGAGCCAGGCAGUUAGUAUCUCAUAAAGCAAUAUGAUUGUGUUCUUCACACAAUCAGCAGUUUUUUAUUAAGUUAUGCACAGCUUUCAGUGGUAACAUUGUGGAUGUGAAGAGAUAUGAUACUGUCCUUUCCUGGGGUUUUGAUUGCGAUGUGAGAGAUGGAUGAUACACACAUUUAGAUAACUGUGUGAGGCGUUACAUAAAGUGGCAAAUGAGUUGUAUAGGCAAUAAAUGGCUUACGAAUUCGAACAAAGGAGAGGUUGCCCUGGGCUGUAAGAUUUUAUGGGAAAGGAUGAAAUUGAACUGAGUUUUGGAAAAUAUUUGGGAUAUAUAUGAGCAGUGUGGUGGAAGGCAUUCCAGGAUGGCAGAUGUCGUGAGAUUAUAUAGAGAUGAACUAGUUGGUUAAACUUAGGUGGUAAGUAGAGUUUGACUGGGGUAUAUAAUAAUUACAGAGAUUAGUGGAUUGUAGUGUUACAAAGAUGGUUUGGGAACAGAUUGUAGAAAAAUUUGAAUGCCAGGCUAAGGGAUUUGGACUAAACUGUAGACAGUUAUUGGAGGUUUUUAAGUGGGUGGUAAUGUGACAGAAUAUUUGAAGAUGUGAUUUUAAGUGGGUGAUUAUGUGUCAGAAUAUUAUGAGGAUGCUAUAAAUGUAAAAUUGAGGGGAGGUUUACUAAAAUCAGGAGAAGACUGGAAAGAUCUGGGUAAAGUGAUAGGCUAGAAAUGAAUGGAUGUCAGAAAUUCUGAAGUAAGUCUAGACAAAGCUUGGUUACUGGAAGAAUUACAGUACCACCAAUAGCAGAUACUGUGAAGUAAUAGUGGGAAACGGAUUUGAAUGGGUAGAGAAGAUAGUAAGAUUUGUUUAGAUUAUAUUGAAAAUGUUUAUACUUGGAAGGUACCUUAGAAAUCAUAUUGCAUGUGAGGAAAAUUGAGUGUGAGAUCAUAGUAAGAUGCCCAAGUAGAGAUAUCAUACGUUUGGAGGCACAUAGAUUUAGAGCUUGGGCAGGAACUCAAAAUUAGAUGUGGAGAUUUGGCAUUUGGUAACAUAUACUGAGGAGCAAGUGUUGGAGUUCAGAGAACGAAGAGCCCAGAGCCAAGGGAUGAAUGUUAGGAGCAAACUAUAGUAGUAAGUAGGUGUGGGAAAUGAAAAAGACCAGUUUAAGAAAUUUGGCAUCAAAGGAAGGAAAAGUGGAAGAGUUUUGUUUAAAGCUACUGAAGGAGAGAAGAUUGGAACAGCUGAGCUAUUGGAUAUAGAGUAUGGAAUUAAGAACAAUGGAAAAGAAGUAAACUUAGAGGAGGGGCAUGUGUUCUCAUUUGCCAGAGGUUCUAUAGGGAAUGAUAAUGAACAUGAUUAACUUUAAUUUAGAUUUACUGUGUGCUGGGCCCAGUUCUAGUGCUUUUACAUGUUUCUACUUAGCUUACAGUCACAGCCCAAUGUUGCAGAGAAUUGGUCAUUUGUCCAGAUGCAUAUAGCUAUUAAGCGGGCUAGGUGGAACUGAAUUGAGGCAAUGUGGCUUUAGUCUGAGCCCUUGACUUCUCUGUAGAUCUGCUCCUAAGGUAGAAUGAAUUGAUCAAGUUGCAGUAUGCUGAAAUUCAGUUUAAGGGGCUUCAAGUUAAUUGACUCACUGUAAAGCUGUAGUCCUUUAAAUUCUAGGAAUCCUUUACUUAUAUGUACAAUGAUGGAGUUGGAAAUAAUAUCCCUGAGAUUCUUUAUUUCUAAAAUAAUUAUGAGUCUAUAAGUAAACCAUCCAUCUUCUGAAAAUGAGAUGAAGAGACUUGGAGAAGCCUUUGUGAGGAAUAUACUAAGGAAUUGACAGUGAAGAAAAAGAUAGCUUAUUAGGAGUUGGCCUGAAUGUGUGCUAUGUCAGUUUUUUUAAAGCUUGGGCACAGAUGCGGGAAAAAAACAUAGUAGUCACGUGUUGUGGUUGAGAAGUGGUUCAUCCAAAAAGUGAGGAGAAGAGAGAAGGCCAGAGUGUGAGAUCAGUGUUUUGGUGACUGAGUUUUGGGCUCAAAUAGUCAAUUGGAUGUUGAAGAUACGGUCCGGUAGAUAUUGAAUUUAUAUGAGCCAUAACUCCAUGAGAACUCUGAAUUUCAGUAUAGUGUAAGUUGCUUACAGUGGUCCCACAUUUAAGGUUAACUGUUGUCUUCAUCAGCUUGAGCUGCUAUAACCGUAAACCGCAUGGCUUGAACAAAUGUUUCUCACCAUUCUGGCAACUGAGAAGUCCAAGAUCAAGGUGCCUGCAGAUUUAUUUUCUGAUGAGAGUCCCAGACCUUCCUGGUCUCUAGACAGCCACCUCCUUCCUGUGUCUUCACAGGGCAGAGAGGGAGAGAGGUCAUGUCUCUCGUGUAUCUUAUAAUAGUACUAUCUUCUUAAUGAAGAUACCACUCUCAAGACGUAACUGCCUCCCAAAGGCCCCAGCUCUAAAUACUAUCACAUUUGGGAUUGGGGCUUCAAAAUACAAAUUUGGAGAACACGAACAUUUAGUCCAUAGCAACUAUCAUUUCAAAAUAUAGGCAGUUUUUAUAAUAUAUUCCCUAAAACAUGUAUUCAAGUUGAUUGUACCAAAUUUAAAAAUAUACAGUAUAUGCUAAAUUCUUACAUUUAUUUCUCUUAUACAUAGUCAUUAAUUAUCAUUGCCAGCACCUGAAAAUGUUCUUUUGUUUCACAAACACUCAUUUGACCAGUCAGUUUUUGACUAGGAAAUGUGGCAAUUUUAGCAUGUCUGUUCAUUGAUUAUUUAAAUUGAAUUAGGUUUUGAAGUCUCUGCUAGUUUCCAUGCUUUUGUUUUCAUGUUUUCUAUUCAUCUUAUUUUUACUCCUACUUUAUGGAAACAUUUUAAUAACCAUACAAACACCGUACUACUGUAUUGAAGGGGUCACUACGAAAAGUGAACUAUUAACUGAUAGGUAGGACCAUCUGACAUGUUUGUCUCCUAAAGUGGUAAGUCUGUUUGUUAUACUAAAAGGGACUUAGGGAUGUUACUGAUACAAUGUGCAAAAACAUAGAUCGCAUGAAAAUCAGUAUUGCCUAUCUCUGCAUUGCAUCUUUUGACUAGAAGGUGACAUACUGUUUCAGGGAUCUGUUCAUUAUCAUUCCCUAUAGAACCUCUUGCAAAUGAAAAUUCCUAUCUUCAGUUUCACAGAAUAUACCUUUUUUUGUUGUUCUGAAAACGUUACUGUUUGGUCUGCUCAUCAGUUUUCAGUUCACAGUGCUUUUGGCAGUUAGUUGAACUGCCUGACAAACCAUGUAUUUAUUUAUUUUAAAGCAAAGUGCUUUUAGUGCUAUGGCAUACAUAGCCAAGACCCAUCUUUUCAUAUUGAAGAAUUCGAAGGAAAUAUAAUUUUUACACAGACUGAGGGCUGGUCUGUUAUAUAAUUUGUUGGUACGUUGAUAUCAAGGUGAGGAUGGUGAACAUAGUUAAACAUUUUGGUAAAGUAGACAGCAGAUGACGGGAAACUUCAGAGAGGAUGUCUCUUUGGGAUGAAAGUAGCUGAUUGUCUGCAUUCAAAAUAAAUUCAUAAAAUUGAAGCAGGCAUAGAAAAUAUAAGUACUGUUUCUCUAAUAAAAGCACUUCUAAUAGGAUACUAUUUUUCUUGCCUCUGGAAGAAUGUUUCCUUUGAGGAAACUGACACCCAAAGGAAUUUAGUUCAUUUCUCAAGACCACAAGGCAAAACUUAGGGUGUGCUAUGGCCUUAGUACUUUACCAUAAGAAAAAUCUUGUUUUAGUAAAAUGAAAACAUUUCAACUUACACAGGAAUUUUUUUAACUGGUUUUCUAAAUAAGUAAAAAAGCGUAGUGGGGGAAAAAAGUUCUGCUGCUUUUCAGAUUUAAAGACUUUUAGAAUAUAUAUCAUUUUGUCAGAAUGCCAAAAGUAUACUGUAAGACUUUUCUCAUCACAGAACUCAGCAUUCAAAACCGUUUGCCAGGCUCUGAGCUAGGUGUAAGGAAUAUAUAAGUAGAACGCAUCUGAUUCUUGCACUUAUGAAACAGAUAGUAAACAGGUAAACAAGUGUUUAGUUAUAAAAUAUCAA